rnacentral:rRNA from 1 species
UACAGAGGGUGCAAGCGUUGUUCGGAAUUACUGGGCGUAAAGCGUGCGUAGGCGGUUUGUUAAGUCUGUCGUGAAAGCCCUGGGCUCAACCUGGGAAUUGCGAUGGAUACUGGCAAGCUAGAGUACGGUAGAGGAUGGUGGAAUUCCCGGUGUAGCGGUGAAAUGCGUAGAGAUCGGGAGGAACACCCGUGGCGAAGGCGGCUCUCUGGAACGCAACUGACGCUGAGACGCGAAAGCGUGGGGAGCAAACAGGG